rnacentral:lncRNA from 1 species
GUUAAGCAAAUAAAAGACAACAGAGAAUCUCCACGCAUUUUGAAAUGGUCUGAUUUAUUGUGUAAUUUUUAUAUUUUUUCUGCUUAAAACCCUUCAUUAGCUUCAUUGCUUGAUAAACUCCUAAGUAUGAUGUAGAAAUUCCUCUGUGAUCUGGGUUCUGCAUAUUUCUCUAGCCUCAUCGCUCACACCUCCUUUGCACAGACAGCUUUUUCCAGCUUUUCAAAUGUCUGGUGCUGGUUCUUAUGCUGGUGUUUGCAGCUUCCGUGUCUUCCUUCUAGUUCCUUGUUAGCUUCAUAAAUCUUUAACGGUCUUCUUAAACUAAGCUCAAAGUUCUUUUCUAUGAAUCAUUUCUGGGAGCUCAGGGUUGAUAUCAAUAUUCCCCUGUAUUUCUAUCAUCUAGCUCCAUGUUGGGUACAUAGUCUGUAUUCUGUAAAUGCUGAAUGAACAAAUAAAUGAAAACGGGUCUUCACAUCACAUCCAUUUUUCAUUUCAAAAACAUACAAUAUAGUACAUAGC